rnacentral:tRNA from 1 species
GCCUCGGUAGUCUAAAGGCUUAGGACGCUCGCACGGAAUGCAAGAGAUCCGGGUUCGACUUCCGGCCGAGGCA